rnacentral:lncRNA from 1 species
GGAAAAAGAAUCAAAUCAUUUGGAGUUUUAUUUUAAAAGUUAUGAGCAGUCAAAGUUCUAGUCAAAUCUGGUUUUAAUUAAAAUAGAAAAAGGAAAAUGUUUCGGUAGGAAAGGUGCUUACUAGAAUAGAAAGCGUAUGGAAGAGUAACACGCUACUCUCGGAGGAACACGUCUAACACGGGAUUGCACACCCGGCCGUGGGGCCCGCGUGUCGGGUUUAUCUUCCACCUCUCGCGAGCACGCACAGAAUCAGCGACGGGGCGCCGACGAUGAUUGCAGACGUUAGGAGGCUCUAUUCCCGGAGUUGCGUGCUCAUGGGGGAAGGACCUCGUCCUCUGGAGGGCACAGGGGUUGCCGGGGAGCUUGGGAGCGAGCACA